rnacentral:rRNA from 1 species
AGUGAUUCAGGGGCGGGCUGUACAAGGCCCGGGAACGUAUUCACCGCGGCCUGCUGAUCCGCGAGUACUAGCGAUUCCGCCUUCAUGGAGUCGAGUUGCAGACUCCAAUCUGAACUGAGACCGGUUUUGGGGAUUAGCUCAACCUUGCGGCUUUGCAGCCUUCUGUACCGGCCAUUGUAGUACGUGUGUAGCCCUGGGCGUAAGGGCCAUGAGGACUUGACGUCAUCCCCCAACCUUCCUUCCCAGCUUUAUCCACUGGGCAGUCCUCCUUUUAGAAUUGCCC